AGUGAAUUUCGGGAUCAACACGAUCGGUCGUGCUUCCGGUACGUACUGUCGUCGUUGAACCCUCCUUUCUGAGGAACCAUGAUGCCAUUAAUUUGGUGUGGUGGGGAAACAGGACCGUUACUUUGAAAAAAUUAGAGUGUUUAAAGCAGGCGAACGCUUGAAUACAUUAGCAUGGAAUAAUGAAAUAGGACGUACCGAUUCUAUUUUGUUGGUUUCUAGGAUCGACGUA
rnacentral:rRNA from 1 species